rnacentral:misc_RNA from 1 species
GUUUUUUUUUUUUUUUUUUUUUUUUUUUUUUUAAAUAAUAUAUAUGGUUUUUUUUUUUUUUUUUUUUUUUUUUUUUUUUUUUUUUUUUUUUUUUUAUAAAUAUGAGUAUAGUGAUCUUUGUUGAUUAUACAUUUAUGUGUUUUAUUGAUUUACAGUUUUUUUUUUUUUUUUUUUUUUUUUUUUUUUUUUUUUUUUUUUUUUUUUUUUUUUUUUUUUUAUAAUAAUAUAGAUAAUAUAUUAAGUAAUCUUAAAGAACAAAAUUAAUCUUAAAAACUAUUAUAUAUUAAUAUAUCUUAUAUAGUAUUGACAAAGUAGAAUAAAAAUCAAAAAGAGGUAAUAAAAAAUAAAAAUAAAAAUGAAGAACAACA